rnacentral:tRNA from 1 species
GGCCCAUUGGUCAAGCGGUCAAGACGGCGCCCUCUCAAGGCGCAAUCCCGAGUUCGAUUCUCGGAUGGGUCA